UGCAACCCCCAAGUCGCUGCAGCUCGCGGCUGAGCAACCGGACGAACGAUAGCUCGAUCUACGACUCCCUCUACGACCACGUCCGGAACAGGUCUUCGGACGCGGAGCCGAUCUACGGGAACUCGGAUGUGAUCGCGACGAGUUUCGAGACGGCCGUGCCGUCGACGUACUACCACAUCAACACCCUCAAGCGGGUCGACUCGGCGACGGCGAACAACAAGCUGGGCCGGGCGAUGAGCUUCUCCGAGCCGCGGGCCACGUCAACGCCCAACAACCCCAAGUUCCCGUGGGACUACGUCCGGAGGUCGACGCGCGGACGGCUCCAGAACCCGCGGGUCCGCCGCUCAUGCAGCUUCAACACGGGGUCGACGGUGACGCCCGUGAGCCGGGUCUACGUGGGCACGCUCCCGCCGCCGCCGUGCCCUCACCAGCCCCCGCAGGUCCAGCAGGUCCCGCUCCGGAAGAUCGAGAACCUGGCCGGCCCAACUACGAGUCCGUGCUCCGCUCCAUCUACGCCUCCACCCGUGGCCGCGGUAGGGGUUGCAGGCACGUCGGCAGGUCGCAGUCCUUCUCGGCGCAACCUAGGUCCAACCUCCAGCGCACGGAUAGUUCCACCUCGUCGCUCUCCCAUACCUCCUUCGUGACGGUCUACGAGAAGCGACCCGGGUCGAAGCCCGACGAAGAGGACAGCGGUUUCGUCAGUGGUGACGCGGAGUCGGUGUGUUCGGUGACCCGCGCGCCGCCGCGGCAGGAGGCCAAACUCCGCAGGCAGCAGGAACCUAGCGGCAAGAACAAGAGACCGGCCACAAUCGCAGUUGUUGGUUUGGAUAAUGUUGGCUCAAAUUCGUGCACCCCUCGGCCAGCGUCAGAUCUGAAUCUCCUAGGACUGACACAUACCGCCUUUCGAUGGCCAAUCUGAAGGUAAGCCAACAGAGUUCACAAAAUAACGGAAAUCGGGAUCGCCUGGAAAAGUCAGGGCAUUAUAAUAAUUAUUUACAAAAGACCGGGAAAGUCAGGGGAAAAUCGGACGUUAC
rnacentral:lncRNA from 1 species